rnacentral:lncRNA from 1 species
UGUAAAGAAAAUGGUGGUUUUAUAUUAUUUCAUGAGUUCUUUUGGAUACUUCUAAUAUCUCUAAGCACUUUGUGUUAUCAAAUUUUUCACCAAUAAAUUUAUUUUUUUGAUCAUUUUCAUCCGUUAUAUUAUACUCUUCAGCCAAUCACCACUCAAUCCUAUGGGAUUAUUAUUAUUCUAACCACACAUCGAUCCUUUUAUCCAAUGGCAGAAAAUCUAAUAGUAUUGAGCACUUUGUACGUUUAGCCAAACAUCAUUAUAAUUUUCUAUUUCUAUCGGAUUGCUCGGAAUCUUAAAAAAUGGCGCGAAUCAAACGCCCCUUAAGUUAAGAUUUAGAAAAGGUAUUUUGACUUUUUUUAAUUUUGAUAAAAAUUUACUUCGCAUUUAAUCCAAGAUGACUUAUGGUACUAACAACAGAGGAAUAUACGAUGAGUAUAUUCGAAACAAAAAAAAAAAGUAAAAAUAUAUAAAAUAUUUCAUAAAUUUUGACAGAUAUAUAAAUAAUUAUUUCUCUCUCUCU